UAUCAAGCUUACUGCAGUUCG
rnacentral:siRNA from 1 species